rnacentral:rRNA from 1 species
GAUGAACGCUGGCGGCGUGCCUAAUACAUGCAAGUCGAACGCGAGCACUUGUGCUCGAGUGGCGAACGGGUGAGUAAUACAUAAGUAACCUGCCCUAGACAGGGGGAUAACUAUUGGAAACGACAGCUAAGACCGCAUAAGCCCACAGCUCGGCAUCGAGCAGAGGGAAAAGGAGUGAUCCGCUUUGAGAUGGCCUCGCGUCCGAUUAGCUGGUUGGUGAGGUAACGGCUCACCAAGGCGACGAUCGGUAGCCGGACUGAGAGGUUGAACGGCCACAUUGGGACUGAGACACGGCCCAG